rfam:Trichobilharzia regenti genome assembly, scaffold: TRE_scaffold0000061
AUCCAGAUGACGAAUCCUAAAUACGACGAGAUGCGCAUCCUGGAU